CAUGCCCUUCGGGCUGGUUCGUACAUGUUCGGUUUUUUUUUUUUUUUUUAUCUGUACGUUCAAAACAAACAUUGCAAUAUUGAUCAAAAAAUUGUUGACUAAUGUUAUUUUAUAUUUUUUUAAGAGUAAAACACAUGUACACAAAUAUUUCCUUUUACUAAUUAUGAGAUUUUCAGGUAAGUUAUUGAGCUAUUUCUGUUUGAUUUGUUAGGAGAUUAGUUUUGUCCGUUUACAAGUUAACAUUGCUUGUGUUAUUCUUGGCAAGUAAUCAUUUCUUAUAUAAAUUUUUGUACACUAUAGGCUUAUCUUUUUAAAUUUUAGGUAGCGUGUGGAGAUUUCAUCUUAUGUUCAUGAGCGCACAACGUAUAAAAUAUAAAAUCAUAAGAAAUGUUUUCUGGUGGUGUGUAGCAGUUAACCGCAUUUAAGUAAAAGUAUUUUAAAAUGAUUGUUACCAGAGCUGAAUUACAUUCAGGCUUGUGGAGAACAGCUUUUUUUUAAUCUACUCUUUGGCUGGCGAAUGUAAAUAAGCAAUGAUUUCGUGAAUGCAGCGAGAGAGUUUAUUUGAUGUAUUUUAAAAUCACUGAUAAUAUUUAUUGAUGUAUUUUAAAAUCACUGAUAAUAUUUAUUGAUGUAUUUUAAAAUCACUGAUAAUAUUUGUUUUGUGGCUGGAAGAUGGUAACCAUGGUGACUUGUGAAUUUUUAUGAAGAUUAAUAAAAAGCAGUAAAAAUUA